rnacentral:rRNA from 1 species
UACGGAAGGCAGCAGUGGGGAAUAUUGCACAAUGGGUGCAAGCCUGAUGCAGCCAUGCCGCGUGUAUGAAGAAGGCCUUCGGGUUGUAAAGUACUUUCAGUCGUGAGGAAGGUGUUAAGGUUAAUAACCUUAGCAAUUGACGUUAGCGACAGAAGAAGCACCGGCUAACUCCGUGCCAGCAGCCGCGGUAAUACGGAGGGUGCGAGCGUUAAUCGGAAUUACUGGGCGUAAAGGGCACGCAGGCGGUUAAUUAAGUUGGAUGUGAAAUCCCCGGGCUUAACCUGGGAAUGGCAUUCAAGACUGGUUAGCUAGAGUCUUGUAGAGGGGGUAGAAUUCCAUGUGUAGCGGUGAAAUGCGUAGAGAUGUGGAGGAAUACCGGUGGCGAAGGCGGCCCCUGGGACAAAGACUGACGCUCAUGUGCGAAAGCGUGGGGAGCAAACAGGGAUUAGAUACC